rnacentral:rRNA from 1 species
AUUGAACGCUGGCGGCAUGCUUUACACAUGCAAGUCGAACGGUAACAGGCCUUCGGGUGCUGACGAGUGGCGAACGGGUGAGUAAUGCAUCGGAACGUACCCAGAGGUGGGGGAUAACGCAGCGAAAGCUGUGCUAAUACCUCAUGUGAUCUGAGGAUGAAAGCGGGGGACCGAGCAGCAAUGUUUGGCCUCGCGCCUUUGGAGCGGCCGAUGUCGGAUUAGCUAGUUGGCGGGGUAAAGGCCUACCAAGGCGACGAUCCGUAGCUGGUCUGAGAGGACGACCAGCCACACUGGGACUGAGACACGGCCCAGACUCCUACGGGAGGCAGCCGUGGGGAAUUUUGGACAAUGGGCGCAAGCCGGAUCCAGCAAUGCCGCGUGCGGGAAGAAGGCCUUCGGGUUGUAAACCGCUUUUGGCAGGAACGAAACGGUGUCCGCUAAUACCGGGCGCUAAUGACGGUACCUGCAGAAUAAGCACCGGCUAACUACGUG